UACGUAGGGGGCUAGCGUUGUCCGGAAUCAUUGGGCGUAAAGCGCGUGUAGGCGGCCCGGUAAGUCCGCUGUGAAAGUCGGGGGCUCAACCCUCGAAUGCCGGUGGAUACUGUCGGGCUAGAGUACGGAAGAGGCGAGUGGAAUUCCUGGUGUAGCGGUGAAAUGCGUAGAUAUCUGGAGGAACACCGGUGGCGAAGGCGGCAUCCUGGACCGGUAUUGACGCUGAGGCGCGAAAGCUAGGGGAGCAAACGGG
rnacentral:rRNA from 1 species